rnacentral:tRNA from 1 species
UAGCUCAGUCGGUAGAGCGCUGGCCUUUUAAGCCAGUGGUCGUGGGUUCGGGCCCCAC